rnacentral:lncRNA from 1 species
ACCCUCACAAAUCCCUAGGAAACUAUCGUCCAUUUGAGUAGAUAGGUUUUACAUCUACUUCAGGUGGAUCAUGUCUGCUAGAUGCUUAAAUGCACAAUGGCUGAAGAGACUGUUAUUAAACAAAGAAUGAAAUUUUUAAAAGACUUAAGGAGGUAAGGCCUUGCUUAUAUAAAAGGCUUAUCUUACUUUCAUUCCUAAGCAAUGAAAAUACACAAGUAAUCAUAAAUCAUAGCCAUGGUUGAAUUGACUGGCACAAUUCAAUGUAUGGAAUUGUGCCAUGUUAUAUAUCAGUUAUUUCUCAGUCCUGCAAUGGAGGCACCAUCACACUCAGACUUUGCAAAACCUCCCAGCUCUCAACUUGUACUAUUCCAUGGAAGAAGUUCCCAUCAUAUAAUGUUCUAGAGAUGCAAAGAAUUGGGAGUGAGAUGAUUUCUGUUGUUUUCUCUUGUCACAAGGAUUUUGCUGCAGCCCUAACUUACUGGAGUUAAGAGCAAGAGUCCCCAACCUGGCUCCCACUAAUUGUGUUGGGCUUUUAGGACUUAUCCUACACAACGGUAGUAUUCUAGGUUUUGGGAAGACAUAAUAAUAGUAUAAUAAUAAUAGUAAUAGUAAUAAGUACUAGAAGACAUGCAAGCCUGUUAUUCAUGUGCAAAUAAUCCCAAAUUCAAAUGCUGAUCCUUUUCUUUGAACACACACAUUGAUAACCACUGCUGAGUUCCCUCUCCAAUGCUUCAUAUAAAAAUGUUGUUUUUUUUAAAAUAAAUAUUUUUCUUAUUUGAGGAAUCUAUUAAUAUAUUAAGUAUAGAGGGAGGAAUAGAAAAGAAGGGUCAAAAUUUUAAGUCAUUGUCAUUUUUUCUGCUCUUGUAAGAUUCUAUUUAAAAAUCUUAUCCUAUUUAGGGGCCUAUUUAGAAAUGGAAAAUCCCAGUUGAAGUGAUGCAGCAAAAAUUCAGAAAAGGACACAAAGAAAACAUUCAUAAUCACCUUGAUUCAGAGAACAACGAAAGCAGAAGCUGCAGACAAGAGGUUCCGUCUUCUGUAUCCUUACCAAUAAAAGCCAAAACGCCUUCAUUGGAAGAAAGAGAUUAUGCUGCUGUUGUGUACCAUCAAACAGAAAGGGCACUGGUCACCAAAUGUUUGUGUGAGGAUCCAAAUGAGACCUGACCUGCUACUGUGACC